GUAAUAUUGAACUGGUCAUAGUUUUCUUGUUCUCCCUGCUUAGAAUACCUUCAGGAGUCUAUGCAGAGACCACAGACAGGAAAUGUUCCUGACAAUCUCUCGUUAUGUGACGCCUUGUCACCUGCUUCACCUCCCCCAACCUGUAUAACUGUUGCAGUUCCAUUCCCUGCAGAAGGAAACAAGAAGGAAGUCCUCCUCUACUCUGCCGAGUCUCUUGUUUAUGUCUGAAGACAGCUGCUGUGACCCUCAUCUUAAUAUGAGAGCACCACUAGUGCCUCAUCACAUUUCCGGGCCAAUGAGAUUCCUAACCUCCAGUCCUAGAAGAUGCCGGGAAACCCGUGCCCUUUGCCAGCCGCGUGAUUUCAUAAUAACUUGUGAGUGCUUCAUGCUUUGUUUUGUUUUGUUUUUUUCCUCAUCCCUUUUGUCUUUCUUCUGAUGGCCUUUACGAGUUGUUUGGGAACAGAUCUUUAUAGACACUGUGCUAGAGUGUGGAUGUCCUAGGAAGAGUCACCAAAGCAC
rnacentral:lncRNA from 9 species